rnacentral:rRNA from 1 species
GCUGUCGGCAGGCCUAACACAUGCAAGUCGAACGGUAACAGGAAUCAGCUUGCUGAUUCGCUGACGAGUGGCGGACGGGUGAGUAAUGUCUGGGAAACUGCCUGAUGGAGGGGGAUAACUACUGGAAACGGUAGCUAAUACCGCAUAACGUCGCAAGACCAAAGAGGGGGACCUUCGGGCCUCUUGCCAUCGGAUGUGCCCAGAUGGGAUUAGCUAGUAGGUGGGGUAAAGGCUCACCUAGGCGACGAUCCCUAGCUGGUCUGAGAGGAUGACCAGCCACACUGGAACUGAGACACGGUCCAGACUCCUACGGGAGGCAGCAGUGGGGAAUAUUGCACAAUGGGCGCAAGCCUGAUGCAGCCAUGCCGCGUGUAUGAAGAAGGCCUUCGGGUUGUAAAGUACUUUCAGCGGGGAGGAAGGGAGUAAAGUUAAUACCUUUGCUCAUUGACGUUACCCGCAGAAGAAGCACCGGCUAACUCCGUGCCAGCAGCCGCGGUAAUACGGAGAGUGCAAGCGUUAAUCGGAAUUACUGGGCGUAAAGCGCACGCAGGCGGUUUGUUAAGUCAGAUGUGAAAUCCCCGGGCUCAACCUGGGAACUGCAUCUGAUACUGGCAAGCUUGAGUCUCGUAGAGGGGGGUAGAAUUCCAGGUGUAGCGGUGAAAUGCGUACAGAUUCUGGAAGGAAUACCCGGCGGCGAAGGCGGCCCCCUGGACGAAGACUGACGCUCAGGUGCGAAAGCGUGGGGAGCAAACAGGAUUAGAUACCCUGGUAGUCCACGCCGUAAACGAUGUCGACUUGGAGGUUGUGCCCUUGAGGCGUGGCUUCCGGAGCUAACGCGUUAAGUCGACCGCCUGGGGAGUACGGCCGCAAGGUUAAAACUCAAAUGAAUUGACGGGGGCCCGCACAAGCGGUGGAGCAUGUGGUUUAAUUCGAUGCAACGCGAAGAACCUUACCUGGUCUUGACAUCCACGGAAGUUUUCAGAGAUGAGAAUGUGCCUUCGGGAGCCGUGAGACAGGUGCUGCAUGGCUGUCGUCAGCUCGUGUUGUGAAAUGUUGGGUUAAGUCCCGCAACGAGCGCAACCCUUAUCCUUUGUUGCCAGCGGUCCGGCCGGGAACUCAAAGGAGACUGCCAGUGAUAAACUGGAGGAAGGUGGGGAUGACGUCAAGUCAUCAUGGCCCUUACGACCAGGGCUACACACGUGCUACAAUGGCGCAUACAAAGAGAAGCGACCUCGCGAGAGCAAGCGGACCUCAUAAAGUGCGUCGUAGUCCGGAUUGGAGUCUGCAACUCGACUCCAUGAAGUCGGAAUCGCUAGUAAUCGUGGAUCAGAAUGCCACGGUGAAUACGUUCCCGGGCCUUGUACACACCGCCCGUCACACCAUGGAAGUGGGUUGCAAAAGAAGUAGGUAGCUUAACCUUCGGGAGGGCGCUUACCACUUUGUGAUUCAUGACUGG